rnacentral:rRNA from 1 species
GGUACGUGAGCUGGGUUUAAAACGUCGUGAGACAGUUUGGUCCUUAUCUGUUGCGGGCGCAGGAUAUUUGAGGAGAUCUUUCCCUAGUACGAGAGGACCGGGAUGGACGAACCUAUGGUGUACCAGUUGUUCCGCCAGGAGCAUCGCUGGGUAGCUAUGUUCGGCAGGGAUAACCGCUGAAAGCAUCUAAGCGGGAAGCCUACUUCAAGAUAAGAUAUCCCAUGGCGUAAAGUCAUCUGAAGGCUCGUGGUAGACCACCACGUCGAUAGGUCGGGUGUGGAAGUGCAGUAAUGCAUGCAGCUUACCGAUACUAAUCAGCCGUGCGGCUUAUCCAUAUU